rnacentral:rRNA from 1 species
GACGAACGCUGGCGGUGUGCUUAACACAUGCAAGUCGAACGGUGAAGCGCUUUCCUCUUUGGCUGGUGUGGAUGGGUGGCGAACGGGUGAGUAACACGUGAGUAACCUGCUUUUUCCUUCUGGAUAACCGCAUGAAAGUGUGGCUAAUACCGGAUAUUCUCCGCCUGCUGCAUGGUGGGUGUGGGAAAGCUUGUGCCUUUGGGUGUUUCCGGUGGGGGAUGGGCUGGCGGCCUAUCAGCUUGUUGUCGGGGCGAUGGCCGACCAAGGCGGUGACGGGUAGCCGGAGUGAGAGGGGGGACGGUGACACUGAGACUGGGUCACGGCCCAGACGCCUACGGGAGGCAGCAGAGGGUAGAAAAUGGCAAUGAGCGCAAGCCAGACGCAGCGACGCGGUGAGAGAGGUGGAGGCCUUCGGGUUGUGAUCUUCUUUGGCAAGUGAGGCGGGCCUGAACCUUGUGCGGUGGUGGACGGAAGCUGAAUAAGAAGCGCCGGCAAACUACGU